UCAGACGAUGCGUCAUGCAUAUCAAUAAGCGGAGGAAAAGAAACUAACAAGGAUUCCCUUAGUAACGGCGAGUGAAGCGGGAAGAGCUCAAAUUUGAAAUCUUCAAGGUUUUACCUUGACGAACUGUAGUUUAAAGAAGUGUUUUCUGUUGAAGUUUUGGUAAAAGUUCUUUGGAAUAGGACAUCAUAGAGGGUGAGAAUCCCGUAUUUGACCAUUAUUUUCAGCUGUGUGAUACACUUUCAAAGAGUCGGAUUGUUUGGGAAUGCAGUCCAAAAUGGGUGGUAAAUUUCAUCUAAAGCUAAAUAUUGGCGAGAGACCGAUAGCGAACAAGUACCGUGAGGGAAAGAUGAAAAGAACUUUGAAAAGAGAGUUAAACAGUACGUGAAAUUGUCAAAAGGGAAGCGUUUGACACCAGUGUUGUUUUCUCGAAAAUCAAUUAAAAAGAGUUAGAUUUUGUUGUGUAUUGACCUUAACAGCUUGCAUUUCAAUUUUCUUGCUUUUUUUAAUGCACUUUUCGUUUAACAAGUCAACAUCAGUUUCUUUUGUUGUAAAAAGGUCAUUGGAAGGUGGCUUUCUUUUCGGAGAAAGUGUUUAUAGCCUUUGACUCCUGCAAUCGGAGAGACUGAGGUCUGCAGCGUAGAUCCUUCGGGGUUAGAUACAUUUGUGCUAAGUUAUAGCUUUUUAUAGACAACUUGUUGACUAUGAUUAGUCUUGUAGCUUACUCGCCUAUGCUAUUUUACCUACGCUUAGGAUGUUGAGUCGUAGAGCACGCAG
rnacentral:rRNA from 1 species